UCGAGCGAACGGACGAGAAGCUUGCUUCUCUGAUGUUAGCGGCGGACGGGUGAGUAACACGUGGAUAACCUACCUAUAAGACCGGGAUAACUUCGGGAAACCGGAGCUAAUACCGGAUAAUAUUUUGAACCGCAUGGUUCAAAAGUGAAAGACGGUCUUGCUGUCACUUAUAGAUGGAUCCGCGCUGCAUUAGCUAGUUGGUAAGGUAACGGCUUACCAAGGCAACGAUGCAUAGCCGACCUGAGAGGGUGAUCGGCCACACUGGAACUGAGACACGGUCCAGACUCCUACGGGAGGCAGCAGUAGGGAAUCUUCCGCAAUGGGCGAAAGCCUGACGGAGCAACGCCGCGUGAGUGAUGAAGGUCUUCGGAUCGUAAAACUCUGUUAUUAGGGAAGAACAUAUGUGUAAGUAACUGUGCACAUCUUGACGGUACCUAAUCAGAAAGCCACGGCUAACUACGUGCCAGCAGCCGCGGUAAUACGUAGGUGGCAAGCGUUAUCCGGAAUUAUUGGGCGUAAAGCGCGCGUAGGCGGUUUUUUAAGUCUGAUGUGAAAGCCCACGGCUCAACCGUGGAGGGUCAUUGGAAACUGGAAAACUUGAGUGCAGAAGAGGAAAGUGGAAUUCCAUGUGUAGCGGUGAAAUGCGCAGAGAUAUGGAGGAACACCAGUGGCGAAGGCGACUUUCUGGUCUGUAACUGACGCUGAUGUGCGAAAGCGUGGGGAUCAAACAGGAUUAG
rnacentral:rRNA from 1 species